rnacentral:tRNA from 1 species
GGUUGUAGCUCAGUGGAAGAGUGCUUGCCUAGCAUGCAUGAGGCACUGGGUUCAAUUCUCAGCACCA